rnacentral:pre_miRNA from 1 species
AGUAAAUUAAUCUAUUUUUAUUGUUAAAAACUGGUUUAGCUAAAUGUGGUAUGCCACGCAUACCUCACUCUAUUAUACAGAGACCAGUUUUUAAUAAUAAAAAUAAAUGAACAACA